rnacentral:rRNA from 1 species
UUGUUGGAGAGUUUGAUCCUGGCUCAGGACGAACGCUGGCGGUGCGCCUUAUGCAUGCAAGUCGAGCGAAGCUUUUCAGUAGUUUACUACAGAAAAUGACUGAGCGGCGAACGGGUGAGUAACGCGUGAGCAAUCUACCUUAGUUACUGGGAUAGCCCGAGGAAACUCGGAUUAAUACCGGAUAAUCUUAUUACAUCACAUGAUAUUUUAAGUAAAGGUCAGCCGAACUAAGAUGAGCUCGCGUUCUAUCAGCUAGUUGGUGGGGUAAAAGCCUACCAAGGCUACGACGGAUAGCUGGUCUGAGAGGACGAUCAGCCACACUGGGACUGAGACACGGCCCAGACUCCUACGGGAGGCUGCAGCAGGGAAUAUUGU